rnacentral:rRNA from 1 species
UACAGAGGGGGGCAAGCGUUAUUCGGAAUUAUUGGGCGUAAAGGGCGCGUAGGCGGCCUGGCAAGUGACGGGUGAAAGCCCUCGGCUUAACCGAGGAACUGCCUGUCAGACUGUUAGGCUUGAGACCGGGAGAGGUGAGUGGAAUUCCCAGUGUAGCGGUGAAAUGCGUAGAUAUUGGGAGGAACACCAGUGGCGAAGGCGGCUCACUGGACCGGUACUGACGCUGAGACGCGAAAGCGUGGGGAGCAAACAGG